UUUUGUGUCACUUACCAACCAAGUGACCUUUAAUAAGUCACUUAUUUUCUCUGAGCACUAAUGAAGCCAGGAGGGUGACAUGGUGGACAUAGUGGAAAUAAGGUUUAGUGUCAAAUGGACCUGGCUCCAAUUCCAGCCAGACUUUGUAACCUUGAGAUAGUUACUUUCUCUUGCCAAGUCUCAUUAUCCCACCAAAAAAAAAUGAGACUAAUAUCUGAGAAUUACAUGGUAAGAGAAACUAUACCAAGUUCCCAGUAUAGCCUCUAGCAUAAUAGGUGGUCAUCUAAUACUGGUUUAUCUUGUCUCCUGCCUUUCCUCUGGUAAAGAGUUGCACCAAGACAAAUGUUUACUAAAUCUAGAUCUGAGUUGGCAAGGGACUACAGAUGAGGAAAGUUCUGGAGAGUUUUGAUGGGAAGAAAAUAGAGAUCACUGAGCAAAAGGAAAAAUGGAAUUUUCAGAAGACCACUCCAUAGGUGGUAGUCAGAGUAGAUACAGAGGCAGGUGACAGCUAGUCGUGAAUCUGCAAGUUCACUGAACAGACUGUGUGAAGGACUAUAUUCCAGGCUAUGUGGUAUACCUGAUCACAUCUGGAUUGGUCUCUCAGCCCUUUGCUCUCAGCUCCACUCUCUGUACAUUCCCUGCUCUGUACACACAAGAAUUGGAUCUCUGGCCAGGGGGCUUCCAUGAAGAAUCAGCCAAUAGGAGGCUAGAAGAUUGAUGGUGGAAGAAGCUUGGUACUUUUCCUUGAACUCAAAGAGAGCACUGAGACAGACUGCAGCGUGACUCCUGCACCCCACAAACAUGAAUACAUUUGUACUUCAGCAGCUGCUUGUGCUGGGAAGGAACCAGGAAUUUUGGGGGCCCAUCCAUCUUUCUUGUGUGUCAGGGCAGUAACUCAAGAGCAUGUGACCUUGGGCCUGGAAGUGAGGCGGCACUCUCCCAUGUCCUAGAGGAACAGUACAUUGAGGAUUUUGUCUUGUCUAUAGACACAGCUCUUCUACCUGUCUUAAUUACCAGGGCUUCAAAACUUUCCAAGAAGGAAGGAAGAUGGAAGCAAAGGAUUCAUUCUGGAACUGCAGAAGAGUGGCAGCAUUUGGGGUUGGAGGCAGUAGAUACUUAGAACUGAACCAGGAUUUUCUGUCCCAUAUUGAAACACAAUUAGGCAAAGGAGCCUUCUCAGCUUAGACCCAUUCCAAUCAUCUGUACCCUCAACACUUAAUAAAGCAUUGGAAGAAUGGA